UGGGGAAUAUUGCACAAUGGAGGGAACUCUGAUGCAGCGCCGACGCGUGAACGAAGAAGGCUUUCGAGUCGUAAAGUUCUUUCAUAUGGGAAGAUAAUGACGGUACCAUAAGAAAAAGCCCCGGCUAACUACGUGCCAGCAGCCGCGGUAAUACGUAGGGGGCUAGCGUUGUCCGGAAUCACUGGCCGUAAAGGGUUGGCAGGCGGAAAUGCCAGUCAGGUGUAAAAGGCAGUAGCUUAACUACUGUAAGCAUUUGAAACUGCAAAUCUUGAGAAGCGUAGAGGUAAGUGGAAUUUUUAGUGUAGCGGUGAAAUGCGUAGAUAUUAAAAAGAGUACCGGUAGCGAAGGCGACGUACUGGGCUCAUUCUGACGCUGAGGAAAGAAAGCGUGGGUAGCAAACAGG
rnacentral:rRNA from 1 species